AGUAGCCCUACCCACUGGCUUCCUUCUCCUCUUAGCACGCUGACUUUCUCUGGGCCUCUGUGCACCACCAUCACCAAUGGCUGCCCUUACUUCAGAUAUCCCACAGGGACUGAUGGACAUCUCUAACCUCCAAUUCUAGAUAGAGAAGAGUAUCUGAAGAGACCGACUCGGUUAGAUGUCCACUUUUGAGAACACGAUUGAUUAGAACAUUAUGGCGCCUGAGCCCCUGCAGGUCAAGUUACUCCUUCAGCCUAAAAAAAUUGUGAACAAAAAAGGAUGGCAAAUGGAAGAAAGCCAAUUAUACAACAAUUUUAGACUUUUGAAGUAAGACCGUUGCAUUUCCCAUAUUGAUUACUUUUCACUUGAUUAUAGUGACUCUCUUCAGCUGUUUAUUA
rnacentral:lncRNA from 1 species